UUAAGCGACUAAGCGUACACGGUGGAUGCCUAGGCAGUCAGAGGCGAUGAAGGGCGUGCUAAUCUGCGAAAAGCGUCGGUAAGCUGAUAUGAAGCGUUAUAACCGACGAUACCCGAAUGGGGAAACCCAGUGCAAUACGUUGCACUAUCGUUAGAUGAAUACAUAGUCUAACGAGGCGAACCGGGGGAACUGAAACAUCUAAGUACCCCGAGGAAAAGAAAUCAACCGAGAUUCCCCCAGUAGCGGCGAGCGAACGGGGAGGAGCCCCGAGUCUGAAUCAGUUUGUGUGUUAGUGGAAGCGUCUGGAAAGUCGCACGGUACAGGGUGAUAGUCCCGUACACCAAGAUGCACAGGCUGUGAACUCGAUGAGUAGGGCGGGACACGUGACAUCCUGUCUGAAUAUGGGGGGACCAUCCUCCAAGGCUAAAUACUCCUGACUGACCGAUAGUGAACCAGUACCGUGAGGGAAAGGCGAAAAGAACCCCGGCGAGGGGAGUGAAAUAGAACCUGAAACCGUGUACGUACAAGCAGUGGGAGCACCUUCGUGGUGUGACUGCGUACCUUUUGUAUAAUGGGUCAGCGACUUAUAUUUUGUAGCAAGGUUAACCGAAUAGGGGAGCCGUAGGGAAACCGAGUCUUAACUGGGCGUCUAGUUGCAAGGUAUAGACCCGAAACCCGGUGAUCUAGCCAUGGGCAGGUUGAAGGUUGGGUAACACUAACUGGAGGACCGAACCGACUAAUGUUGAAAAAUUAGCGGAUGACUUGUGGCUGGGGGUGAAAGGCCAAUCAAACCGGGAGAUAGCUGGUUCUCCCCGAAAGCUAUUUAGGUAGCGCCUCGUGAACUCAUCUUCGGGGGUAGAGCACUGUUUCGGCUAGGGGGCCAUCCCGGCUUACCAAACCGAUGCAAACUCCGAAUACCGAAGAAUGUUAUCACGGGAGACACACGGCGGGUGCUAACGUCCGUCGUGAAGAGGGAAACAACCCAGACCGCCAGCUAAGGUCCCAAAGUCAUGGUUAAGUGGGAAACGAUGUGGGAAGGCACAGACAGCCAGGAUGUUGGCUUAGAAGCAGCCAUCAUUUAAAGAAAGCGUAAUAGCUCACUGGUCGAGUCGGCCUGCGCGGAAGAUGUAACGGGGCUAAACCAUGCACCGAAGCUGCGGCAGCGACACUUAGGUGUUGUUGGGUAGGGGAGCGUUCUGUAAGCCGUUGAAGGUGACCUGUGAGGGUUGCUGGAGGUAUCAGAAGUGCGAAUGCUGACAUAAGUAACGAUAAUGCGGGUGAAAAACCCGCACGCCGGAAGACCAAGGGUUCCUGUCCAACGUUAAUCGGGGCAGGGUGAGUCGACCCCUAAGGCGAGGCUGAAAAGCGUAGUCGAUGGGAAACAGGUUAAUAUUCCUGUACUUGGUGUUACUGCGAAGGGGGGACGGAGAAGGCUAGGCUGGCCGGGCGACGGUUGUCCCGGUUUAAGCGUGUAGGGGGAGUGACCAGGUAAAUCCGGUUGCUUAUCAACCCUGAGGCGUGAUGACGAUGCACCACGGUGCAGAAGCAGUUGAUGCCAUGCUUCCAGGAAAAGCCUCUAAGCAUCAGGUAACAUUAAAUCGUACCCCAAACCGACACAGGUGGUCAGGUAGAGAAUACUCAGGCGCUUGAGAGAACUCGGGUGAAGGAACUAGGCAAAAUGGUGCCGUAACUUCGGGAGAAGGCACGCUGGCGUUAGGUGAAAGGACUAGCUCCUGGAGCUGAAGCCAGUCGCAGAUACCAGCUGGCUGCAACUGUUUAAUAAAAACACAGCACUGUGCAAACACGAAAGUGGGCGUAUACGGUGUGACGCCUGCCCGGUGCUGGAAGGUUAAUUGAUGGGGUCAGCCGCAAGGCGAAGCUCUUGAUCGAAGCCCCAGUAAACGGCGGCCGUAACUAUAACGGUCCUAAGGUAGCGAAAUUCCUUGUCGGGUAAGUUCCGACCUGCACGAAUGGCGUAAUGAUGGCCAGGCUGUCUCCACCCGAGACUCAGUGAAAUUGAACUCGCUGUGAAGAUGCAGUGUACCCGCGGCAAGACGGAAAGACCCCGUGAACCUUUACUAUAGCUUGACACUGAACAUUGAGCCUUGAUGUGUAGGAUAGGUGGGAGGCCUUGAAGUGUGGACGCCAGUCUGCAUGGAGCCAACCUUGAAAUACCACCCUUUAAUGUUUGAUGUUCUAACUCGGCCCCAUGAUCUGGGGUGAGGACAGUGUCUGGUGGGUAGUUUGACUGGGGCGGUCUCCUCCCAAAGAGUAACGGAGGAGCACGAAGGUUAGCUAAUCACGGUCGGACAUCGUGAGGUUAGUGCAAAGGCAUAAGCUAGCUUGACUGCGAGAGUGACGGCUCGAGCAGGUACGAAAGUAGGUCUUAGUGAUCCGGUGGUUCUGAAUGGAAGGGCCAUCGCUCAACGGAUAAAAGGUACUCCGGGGAUAACAGGCUGAUACCGCCCAAGAGUUCAUAUCGACGGCGGUGUUUGGCACCUCGAUGUCGGCUCAUCACAUCCUGGGGCUGAAGUAGGUCCCAAGGGUAUGGCUGUUCGCCAUUUAAAGUGGUACGCGAGCUGGGUUUAGAACGUCGUGAGACAGUUCGGUCCCUAUCUGCCGUGGGCGUUGGAAGAUUGAGAGGGGCUGCUCCUAGUACGAGAGGACCGGAGUGGACGAAUCACUGGUGUUCGGGUUGUCAUGCCAAUGGCAUUGCCCGGUAGCUAAAUUCGGAAGAGAUAACCGCUGAAAGCAUCUAAGCGGGAAACUUGCCUCGAGAUGAGUCUUCCCUGGGGCUUAAAGCCCCCUGAAGGAACGUUAAAGACUAUGACGUUGAUAGGCUGGGUGUGUAAGUGCAGCGAUGUAUUGAGCUAACCAGUACUAAUGAUCCGUGAGGCUUAACCUU
rnacentral:rRNA from 1 species